rnacentral:rRNA from 1 species
GAUGAACGCUAGCGGCAGGCUUAAUACAUGCAAGUCGUGGGGCAGCAGGAGUAGCAAUACUUGCUGGCGACCGGCAAACGGGUGCGUAACACGUACGCAACUUUCCUUCAGGCGGGGAAUAGCCCAGAGAAAUUUGGAUUAAUACCCCAUAAAAUAUUGAGAUGGCAUCAUCUUAUUAUUAAAGCUUCGGCACCUGAAGAUGGGCGUGCGGCUGAUUAGGUAGNGGCGGGGUAACGGCCCACCAAGCCUACGAUCAGUAGCUGAUGUGAGAGCAUGAUCAGCCACACGGGCACUGAGACACGGGCCCGACUCCUAC